GCCCUGGGCAGCCUUUCCCAAGCUCAUUUGCGCAUCCGCCCAAACUCCUGGCAGGAUCUAGCUCAAGCCCACCGCCUAAGGUCCCAGCCCCACCCUCGCGAUUCCUGCGCACAUCUGAUGCCUGGGUCAGCCUGACAGCGCUGGGAGACCGUUCAGGCGUAUUAACAAUACAGCAUACCAAGAAGCAUGGCUCGUACGCCCCGCAAGGUUCAAGGUACGUCUACUCAUUUGGGGGCCAAAGAAAUGACCACCGGACAAGUACACCCACUUGUGUAAGAAGCUGCAGAGCAAGCAUCCAUGCCCCAGGCGCGUCCACACCGCCAUUCUGUCCUGAUCUCUCAGACGCAGCGGUCUCCCUGAUUACUUUAACAUGU